rnacentral:rRNA from 1 species
UACGUAGGGUGCGAGCGUUUGUCCGGAAUUAUUGGGCGUAAAGAGCUCGUAGGCGGUUUGUCGCGUCGGGAGUGAAAUCCACUGGCUUAACUGGUGGCUUGCUUUCGAUACGGGCAGACUGGAGGUAUGCAGGGGAGAACGGAAUUCCUGGUGUAGCGGUGAAAUGCGCAGAUAUCAGGAGGAACACCGGUGGCGAAGGCGGUCUCUGGGCCGAAACUGACGCUGAGGAGCGAAAGCGUGGGGAGCAAACAGG